AAUGGGGGAAACCCUGAUGCAGCAACGCCGCGUGAACGAAGAAGGCCUUCGGGUCGUAAAGUUCUUUGAUUGGGGACGAUAAUGACGGUACCCAAAAAACAAGCCACGGCUAACUACGUGCCAGCAGCCGCGGUAAUACGUAGGUGGCGAGCGUUGUCCGGAUUUACUGGGCGUAAAGGAUGCGUAGGUGGAAACUUAAGUGGGAUGUGAAAUCCCCGGGCUCAACCCGGGAACUGCAUUCCAAACUGGGUAUCUAGAGUGCAGGAGAGGAAAGCGGAAUUCCUAGUGUAGCGGUGAAAUGCGUAGAUAUUAGGAAGAACACCAGUGGCGAAGGCGGCUUUCUGGACUGUAACUGACACUGAGGCAUGAAAGCGUGGGGAGCAAA
rnacentral:rRNA from 1 species